rnacentral:rRNA from 1 species
CCUGCAAUGGUCCUCUAUUUAAAUGUUCCGACGCCUAAGGAUGGAUCUGCGGCAGAUUAGGUAGUUGGUGGGGUAAUAACCCACCAAGCCUUUGAUCUGUACGGGUUGUGAGAGCAAGAGCCCGGAAAUGGAACCUGAGACAAGGUACCAGGCCCUACGGGGCGCAGCAGGCGCGAAACCUCCGCAAUGCGAGCAAUCGCGACGGCCGGACCCCAAGUGCCACUCUUAACGGGGUGGCUUUUCUGAAGUGUAAAAAGCUUUAGGAAUAAGGGCUGGGCAAGACCGGUGCCAGCCGCCGCGGUAACAC